UGGUUAAGGCAGUUCUGACUUUUAUCAUAUGGGCUGUAGACUUGUAUCCUGAAUUUCUUCAACAUUGUGAAUGAGAGUCCCCUGAGUUGUCACAUUAGAGAAUUUUGUUAAUUAUUUUUAGACUUUGAUUAACUUAUCUCUUUGAAAAGUUCCUUAGCUCUUGAAACCACUUAGCUCGGUUAUUCCCAAUUACUCCUAUUACCAACUUGCUCCAGAACUUAAUUCCUUGGAAGGCUACAAAUCUUCUAAUUACAGCCUAAACGUAUUUCAUUAUACACACUUAUUCUUGUGUCACCAUUGACCUUCAGUAUAAACAGGUUUCAUCUGACCCUGAGGUAUUUGUAGGCAAUUUUUAAGCUGUGUUGAACGAGGGCAUGGAAGAAUGAUAUUCUGCAAAUCCUUUUCAAUAACCUGUUAUUGCAGGGGGAUUUGAUGGCUUGUGGUCCUUCACGCUUGUAUUGUGGGCAGUGAUUUCACCUGUAAAUGCCUUCAUUGAGUUGAUGAAUUCAUUAAACCUGGUAGUUUCAUAUGCCUUUCCUACAGUUCCAGGAAAAGAAAUACCAUUGUAUAAUAUUACAGAACGGUUCAGGUUGGAAGGGACCUCAGGAAGUGUAUCUCUAGGUUGACUUCCUACUCAAAACAAGGUCAGCUGUGAGAUCAAAUGAGAUUGCUUAGGGCUUUAAUCAGUCAGGUCUUGAAAACACCCAGGGAUGCAGAAGCAUAGUCUGUGCAACCUGCUCCAAUGUUUCUGUCCUCUUGUGGGUGUGGGGAGGCUGCUGCUUGGUCCCUCUGAAGCUGUAUCUUCUUCAGGCUGAAUGCUGACUUCAUUCUAGUUUGUUGAUGUCUUCAUUAUAUUGGGAAAAUGAAAAAUUUGUGGUAUACUAAAUGUGAUCUAACAAGUAAAGGGGGCUGGUCUAGCCUGUGGUACUGUUAGAGCAUACUGCUGGCUUGUGUUCAGCUCACAGUUUGCUAAAACCCUCUGAUCUUCUCCCACCGAACUGCUCCUCGGCCAGUCAGUUCCCAGCCUGUAUCACUGCAAGGGUUUUUUCCCUUCUAAAGUGCUGGACUUCACAUUUGUCCUUGUUGAACUUCAUGAGAUUCCUGUCAGCACAUUCCUCUAGCCUGUCUAGAUCCAUCAGAAUGGUAACCCUGCCAUUAAGCAUACCAAUUUAUUUCUCCUCCAGUUUGAUGUCAUCUCUGACCUUUGUGAAUAAGUACUACAUUGCCUCCUUCAGGAAACUGAUAAAGAUGUUAAGCAGGACAUACCCGCAAGUAGAACCCUUUGGCACUUCAGUUGUUAUUGGCCUGCUGUCAGAAUACGCCCUAUUAACCACAACCCUCCAAAUCUGACCUUCCCACGAGGUUAUUACUUAUUUGAUUAUUCAUCCAUCCGGAAGGUAAUGUACUAAUGUGGAUACAGAAAGAUGUCAGGAGAGAAUGUCAAUAUGCUUGCUGAAGUCAAGGUAAAUGAGAUCUUUUGCUCUUCCUUCCUAUACAAAUCCAUGCAUUUACUCAUGGAAGACAAACUGUUUGGUCAGGCAUGGCUUGCCUUUCUUCAGUUCAUAGUGAUUGCCUCCAUUCAGCACCUUCUCUGUGCACUCAGAAAUGUGUUCCAGGAACCUUUGCUCCAUGACUUCCCUGGAGUCUGAAGUGAGACUAACCAUAUUUUUGACACCUUUUUAAAAUGUGUUCAAUUUUUGCCUUUUUUUUUUUUUUUUUCUCUCCAGUCAUUGAGGAUCUCUGCCAGUCUCUAUAAACUCAAAAAAUGUUAGGCAGCCUUACAAGGGCCUUGCAAUCAUUUCUUGGCAUCCUAGGGCACAGCGUUUUGGGUUCCAUAGUCUCUCUAAGUGUCUCAUUCCUUCAAGCAAUUCCUGACUCAGUCUUUACCCACUGUUGCUGAUUUGUUUUCUGUUUAGACUCUUUUUCUAAGCACAGAAGCUUCAGAGAUGUUUCUGAUGAAGACAGGAUCAGAAAUCAUUAAGUAUCUCAGACUUAUCUGUGUCUCUAGUUAUUAAAUUUUCUACCCCAUUCAGCAGUGGUCACAAAUUUUCCUUGUUAAGUGCUUCUAAUGUUAAUGCAUUUGUGACCUUUUCGGUUGGGUUUUUUGUUGUUGUUGUUGUUGUUUUUUACUUAAUCUUACAACCUCUAAUUAACGUGAAGUAUAUAUUUAGAAAGACACUCUAAAUUGGUGUCCUUUUCUAUUCAGGUUUUUAAGGAAGACAAAACUAGAGAUGUAGUAAAUGUUUCAGUGUGGAAAAGAUGAAUUCUGCUCUGUCUUUUGCAUAUUCCUGUUCUAUAACUAGUGAAAUAGAGACAUGAUCUUAAAGUUUUUCUGUACAAUUUAACUUGUGAGCAGAUGUUCAGAAAGACUUCAGAAAAUAUAAUUAUUAAGACAAGUUAAAUCUUAGAUUUUCUUUCUUCCAUCAAAAUCUUCAAAAAAAGAUUUUAUUUGUGCCUAUUCUAUAAAAAGAAAAAGAGGAAAGAGAAUUAAGGGUUUAGCUUGAAUUAGCUGGAAACUUGACUUUCACAAAUAAAUCCAGCCUUGGUCUAGUUUAAAGAAAGGAUCAAGUCCUACAUGGUUGUGAGAAAUCAGGAAACAGAAAUGUGUAAACAACUGCAUAAAAGUUUUAAAGAAAAAAAAAUAACAUUUCUGCAAAAUUGGCAUAGUUAUAGUGAAAUGUUAAGUGAAAAUCCUAAAUUGCUUCAUCUUUUGUUUUUUGUAGUGAUAUGUGUAUCCUAGAGGUUUUUUUGAAUGUCUCCAAAAACACAAUUCAGUUCUUCUAAAGUAGUGGUGAUGAGUUCUAAUUGCUUUUAAAUUACUUAUUUAGCCCAAGAAAGUUGGGGCUCACCAACAUAUGGAACAGAAAUAAAAUGUUAACCACAUGUCUGAGAUGCUGGACGACUACCUGGGAGAAAUGAAAAACUGCAGAGCUCAACUAAUAGCGAUUGUCAACAGAGGCAGCGGUUUCCAGGCUCUGUUUUUUGUUGUUGUUGUUGUUGUUUGCUUGUUUGUUUGCUUGCUUGCUUUUGACAUCUUUGAUUUUUCUUGAGGUUUUGGGGUCUGCGACUUCCUGGGAAUCCUCCAAGGAUCAGGAAGGUGGCAGCUGCUGCUAGGUUUCAACUGGGAAGCAAACUGAUGUGCUCUUUCUCAAUCAAGGUCUUCAAGGUCAGCUGAUACUUUAGGAUCAACAAGAAUGUGAGGAAAGACUUGAGCCCACAUCUGUUUGUCUCUCAUCAUUUUCCUCAUAGUCCUUUAGCUUCAUACGAAAGCUUCCAGACAGUCAUCAGAAGCAGAAAGAAGAAUUCUUUUAUUUUCUAACACACAUAAUUUGCAACCUGUUUGGGAAUUACUGAAAUUCCUGGUUUUUGUCUCUAGGGUGGUGACAGUAUGAGCUGAGUGUUGGCCAGUAACGUUCCCAGAGACUAUAAAAUGUUUUCUGGGCUAGUUUGAGCUGCUCUUCACCAUUUACUCACCCCUGCUCUGCUACACUAGCUCUAUACACAUAAAGAACUGUUACAGCUUAACUAAGAAUACUGUGAGGACUGGAUCAGUCAGAACAUUAUCUUCCCUAAGCACUACAUUUUUAUUUUUUUUUCUGCAGCUUUGAACAUACAGUCAAUGCUAGAGAGACAUUUGAAUCCUUUCAUGCUUUUAUACAAAAAAGUAUUGAAUCUGGCCAAUUUGAAUGACAAACUAAAACAUCAGACAUCUUGCCAAGAAAUUGCAGGGAGAACUGCAUUUUCCUUUUUAAAGUUUAGGUUUUAUUUCCAUCUCUUUGAAGAGCUUUAUAUCCAGUAUCUGAGUGAGAACACACUGCUGGAAAUGUGAAAAGGUUCUUUACCUGAAACAUUUGUUGAUAGGCUUAUUUAUGUAUGUAUGUAUGUGAAUUUAUUUAUUUAUCUAUUUUGUUGUGAUUAUAAGUGCUCAGCAUAUAACAAACAUGACGUCACCUUAUAAUGUGAAACUGCCAGAAGUAAAAGUGCAUACAGUAAUGAGAAAUAGAAGCAUAGUGAAUGAAUUAUCUUUGUCAGUUAUUAAAAUCUUCAUUACGACAUUUUGCAGAAUGUUCUACAUGCCUAAGUGUAUCCUUUAUUAUCGUUAUUAUUAUUUUUAAUUUAGUGAUGAUUCAAGGUUUCUUAUUUCUUCAAUGAAACAUCUGUAAUUCCCCAAAACUUGACAGAGUUUUAGAGUAUGCUGAACUGUGCUCUGUGAAGACAAGGCAGGAGGAAAAGGAUAAUAAAUAUUACAGCAGUGCAAGCAACUUGCAUCAAGGAAUUAACACUCUGAUGUGACAUAUUGUGCAGCUGAACACUGAAGUAUGUAUUCACAGUACAGAGAAAACCAGCACCCUGUUAUAAUUCCCAGUGAUCUGCAUAAUUACAGUAACAGAAUUUUGGUCUUUUCCCCUGUGCUGGCAGCAAAUGCUGCAUCAGUUUCUUCAUUAGUAUGCACUGUUGUGUGAACUGAUUUGCUAUUGUAGAUGUAGACUGUCACUGUCAGCCACAGGAGGUCUAGAAAGUUAUACAAGUAUGGAUCUCAGAAAUAUUCUAAUUAAAUCUGGCACAUAAGAUGAAGUAUAUUUUUUUAUUUUGAUUGACAUACUUUAUAGUAAUAUAAUUUUAUUGAUAAUGCAAUGAUGCC
ensembl:lncRNA